rnacentral:lncRNA from 1 species
GCCUGAAUGCCGUGGGCUUCUCCAUCUUGGGCCUCACUACUGUGGGCUGAAUUUGAGGUGCCAAAAUCCAACAAUCUCCACCUUGACUUAAUAUUCUACCUCUAUAUAAUUUUGAGAGCUCGUGAAUGAUCUCACCCCCAUACCCUGGGGCAAAAAUCUGGUUGCUUAUGGAUGGGUAAAUAUGAAAGUUGAGCCAAACCGCUCGAUUCCAUCUCCAUCAUGUGUUAUAACUUGCCUGAUCUGAGAUAUGCUUGGG